rnacentral:rRNA from 1 species
AUUGAACGCUGGCGGCAUGCUUUACACAUGCAAGUCGAACGGCAGCGCGGGCUUCGGCCUGGCGGCGAGUGGCGAACGGGUGAGUAAUGCAUCGGAACGUGCCCAGUAGUGGGGGAUAGCCCGGCGAAAGCCGGAUUAAUACCGCAUACGACCUGAGGGUGAAAGCGGGGGACCGAAAGGCCUCGCGCUAUUGGAGCGGCCGAUGUCGGAUUAGCUAGUUGGUGGGGUAAAGGCUUACCAAGACGACGAUCCGUAGCUGGUCUGAGAGGACGACCAGCCACACUGGGACUGAGACACGGCCCAGACUCCUACGGGAGGCAGCAGUGGGGAAUUUUGGACAAUGGGGGCAACCCUGAUCCAGCCAUGCCGCGUGCGGGAAGAAGGCCUUCGGGUUGUAAACCGCUUUUGUUCGGGAAGAAAUCCUCUGGGCUAAUACCCCGGGGGGAUGACGGUACCGGAAGAAUAAGCACCGGCUAACUACGUG